rnacentral:rRNA from 1 species
GCCAGACUCCUACGGGAGGCAGCAGUGGGGGAUAUUGCACAAUGGGGGGAACCCUGAUGCAGCGACGCCGCGUGGGUGAAGGAGCGUUUCGGCGCGUAAAGCCCUAUCGGCAGGGAAGAAGGAGGACGGUACCUGACUAAGAAGCCCCGGCUAACUACGUGCCAGCAGCCGCGGUAAUACGUAGGGGGCAAGCGUUAUCCGGAUUUACUGGGUGUAAAGGGGGCGCAGACGGCAGCGCAAGCCAGGAGUGAAAGCCCGGGGCCCAACCCCGGGACUGCUCUUGGAACUGCGCGGCUGGAGUGCAGGAGGGGCAGGCGGAAUUCCUGGUGUAGCGGUGAAAUGCGUAGAUAUCAGGAGGAACACCGGUGGCGAAGGCGGCCUGCUGGACUGCGACUGACGUUGAGGCCCGAAAGCGUGGGGAGCAAACAGGAUUAGAUACCCUUGUAUC